AGCAGCUAUGAAAUCAUCAAAGUAGGGUUAAUCAGACAAAACAGGAAACUCACACCAAUUCUCCAGCUACUAAACCACCGCACGACGAAUUCAAUACAAUUCAAUUUAGUUCGAUUCAAAGGCAAGUUCAAAUUGGUGGGUAGGAAAGGGGCUAGGGUUAGGGUUUUGGGGAACUGACCACCAGGAAUAGGAGGUUCGGCGGUCGAUCUUGAGGGCGAGGAAGAGGGUGAAGCAGAAGAGGAGGCCGUGCGCCACCACCGCCUGCGCCGACCUCCCCACGCUCGUCCAUGUCAUCGCCCGACGCCGCUGCAUCCUUAUUCUCCCUCUCUCUCUCUCUCUCUCUCUCUCUCUCUCUCGCGUUCACUCUUAUAUUCCUCGCUUCCUCCGGAUAAUGGCGAAUAAGUACGGGGAAUAAGUCGGGAGCGACGGAAUAAAUUAAAUUAAAAUAAAUUUUUUUAAAAAAAAAACACUAAUAAACCCUCGAUCGAUGUGGAGGCGGAGGUUGUGGAUAUUUUGGGGUUUUUGUUUCUAUUUUUGGAUUCUUUUUUUU
rnacentral:lncRNA from 1 species